ensembl:miRNA
AGAGAUACGUCAAGGCUUGUUUACAGAAGAAGCAGAGGAAGCCGCUCUGUAAGUCGUCGGGCCGAGGGCUCG